AAUGGCAAAAAAGAUCCAUAUAACCAACCUCAACUAGCAUAGGAUCAAGGCUUAGUAGUUGUUGUUGGGUUAUUGUUUUGAACUAUAUUUUCUUCCCCCAAACAAUAUGCACAUACAGAAUGUAAAAAUGGAAAAUAGCCAAUUUUAAGUCUUUAAAGUAAAUCCAAGUGGUAAACAGUAUCACAAUGUAUAUCAGAAACAUGAACAUAAAGAACACCUGAGAAAAAU
rnacentral:misc_RNA from 1 species